AGAGGAAGCCCAUUUGGAGAUUUAUCGCCCCCUUGUGGACACCUUUAUGAGCUGCUACUGAGUCUGCGACGGAUGAGGGAGGCGGGCUUGGUUUCAGUGUCCUCCUGGUCACUCUCACACUGUCUCUGAUGGGAGAAGCAAAACAUUUAAGGGAGACUCCAGCUUGAACUCACAAAUCCCCAUUUUUCAGUAUUACAAUACUCUGUCAUGAAUCAUGUGAUGUUAUGCAGAAAUUUAAGGGAGUAUAAAAUCCCCCCCCGCCCCCCGCUCACCAGCUCCUGGUCCUGAGAAGCACUGGUCUUACACAGCAGCCUCAGCCGACAGAACCGAUUACAGGCCGACACCAUGUUAUAGGACAUCUACAGAAACGGAGACAGCAGUAACUGUUAGAUACAGUAAGAAGUCAAAAUAUACUUUCAGUUGUCUCAAAGCACUGGACAGCAUGCUAUUCAGAGGGAAUUAAAAAAAACACCCUGAGAUAACUGUUAAAAACAAAAUUAUUCCAUGACCCCAGGAAAAGCCAUAAAAAGACUCCUGGAAAAUGGUUAGUGUCCGAGGUAGGAAGAAAGAAGAGAAACACGAGACAAAACAGCAGUAUAUGUGUGCAAGUGGAUGCAAUAUACAUUAUGAACUGCAGAGGGCGCACACAGUCAGUCUAAAAAGUAUGACUUAUCCAUACAGUAGAAUCCACAGUGUGUCUCACUCUCACAUUCAGUCUCACCUUCCACUUCCUCUUGGCAUUGAACUUCUUAAAGUUCUUCAUGUUGAUUGACGAGCGACUUCUGUUGGCUUUCUGCUUUCGUGUGAGUGGCUGAAUUGGGACAUGAAGGAAAAGUAAAUGACAUUUAACAUGUUAUGACGAUACCACACUACUGAGGAUUCCUCUCUUUUACUCUCUGAUGCUUGCUCAAGCCUUAAUCCACCCCCCUCCCCCCCCCUUGCCCCCCAGCUCUUUCCUCACCUUGAUCCAGGGAUGUAGCAGACAUUCCUCUGAUGUCAUUCUCUCACUGUGGAGACAGACGGAAAGCGGUGGUUUUACUCUACCAAAGCUGAGCUCUACAGCUUUAAUUAAUAACAGAGGCAUCAUCAUUUACCAAAGGGAACUUUAAAUAUCUCCUGACCUCAUACUGCUUUCAAAAGCACACACAACAGUAGAUUAAAAGAAGAAAUUAAUUAAAAACAAAAAUUAUAUGGUGUUUGUGAGUUUUCAAUAGUUUGUAAUGUAACUUUUUGUGAAGCACAUUGUAUCUGUGCUAUAUAAAUAAAGUUUAUUAUAAUAUUA